GCGGGACACGUGGUAUCCUGUCUGAAUAUGGGGGGACCAUCCUCCAAGGCUAAAUACUCCUGACUGACCGAUAGUGAACCAGUACCGUGAGGGAAAGGCGAAAAGAACCCCGGCGAGGGGAGUGAAAAAGAACCUGAAACCGUGUACGUACAAGCAGUGGGAGCCUCUUAAUGGGGUGACUGCGUACCUUUUGUAUAAUGGGUCAGCGACUUAUAUUCUGUAGCAAGGUUAACCGAAUAGGGGAGCCGAAGGGAAACCGAGUCUUAACUGGGCGUUAAGUUGCAGGGUAUAGACCCGAAACCCGGUGAUCUAGCCAUGGGCAGGUUGAAGGUUGGGUAACACUAACUGGAGGACCGAACCGACUAAUGUUGAAAAAUUAGCGGAUGACUUGUGGCUGGGGGUGAAAGGCCAAUCAAACCGGGAGAUAGCUGGUUCUCCCCGAAAGCUAUUUAGGUAGCGCCUCGUGAAUUCAUCUCCGGGGGUAGAGCACUGUUUCGGCAAGGGGGUCAUCCCGACUUACCAACCCGAUGCAAACUGCGAAUACCGGAGAAUGUUAUCACGGGAGACACACGGCGGGUGCUAACGUCCGUCGUGAAGAGGGAAACAACCCAGACCGCCAGCUAAGGUCCCAAAGUCAUGGUUAAGUGGGAAACGAUGUGGGAAGGCCCAGACAGCCAGGAUGUUGGCUUAGAAGCAGCCAUCAUUUAAAGAAAGCGUAAUAGCUCACUGGUCGAGUCGGCCUGCGCGGAAGAUGUAACGGGGCUAAACCAUGCACCGAAGCUGCGGCAGCGACACUAUGUGUUGUUGGGUAGGGGAGCGUUCUGUAAGCCUGUGAAGGUGGCCUGUGAGGGUUGCUGGAGGUAUCAGAAGUGCGAAUGCUGACAUAAGUAACGAUAAAGCGGGUGAAAAGCCCGCUCGCCGGAAGACCAAGGGUUCCUGUCCAACGUUAAUCGGGGCAGGGUGAGUCGACCCCUAAGGCGAGGCCGAAAGGCGUAGUCGAUGGGAAAC
rnacentral:rRNA from 1 species